rnacentral:rRNA from 1 species
GACGAACGCUGGCGGCGUGCUAAACACAUGCAAGUCGAACGGAAAGGCCCUGCUUUUGUGGGGUGCUCGAGUGGCGAACGGGUGAGUAACACGUGAGUAACCUGCCCUUGACUUUGGGAUAACUUCAGGAAACUGGGGCUAAUACCGGAUAGGAGCUCCUGCUGCAUGGUGGGGGUUGGAAAGUUUCGGCGGUUGGGGAUGGACUCGCGGCUUAUCAGCUUGUUGGUGGGGUAGUGGCUUACCAAGGCUUUGACGGGUAGCCGGCCUGAGAGGGUGACCGGCCACAUUGGGACUGAGAUACGGCCCAGACUCCUACGGGAGGCAGCAGUGGGGAAUAUUGCACAAUGGGCGGAAGCCUGAUGCAGCAACGCCGCGUGCGGGAUGACGGCCUUCGGGGUGUAAUCCGCUUUCGCCUGUGACGAAGCGUGAGUGACGGUAAUGGUAAAGAAGCACCGGCUAACUACGU